CGAUAAUCUAACUUAUGGUCUGGGAUAACCUUGGGAAACUGAGGCUAAACCCGGAUAGGGAAUUGAUGCUGGAACGCACUUUUCUUUAAAAGCAAUGCCAUAAGAUGAGUCGGCGGCUGAUUAGGCUGAUGGUGAGGUAAUGGCUCACCAUACCAAAGAUCAGUAGGGGGAGUGAGAGCUCUAGCCCCGAGAAGGACACUGAGAUAAGGGUCCUAGUCCUAAGGGAUGCAGCAGUCGCGAAAACUUUACAAUGCACGAAAGUGUGAUAAGGGAAUUCCAAGUGCUUUAUCUUCGGAUAAUGCUUUUGCCAAGUUCAAACAGCUUGGCGAAUAAGUGGUGGGCAAGACCGGUGCCAGCCGCCGCGGUAACACCGGCGCCACGAGUGGGGAUCAUAUUUAUUGGGUCUAAAGCAUCCGUAGCCGGUUUAGCAACUCUUUUGUGAAAUCGUUUCGCUUAACGUAACGACGUGCAAAAGAAACUGCUAGACUAGGAACCGGGAGAGGUUAGAGGUAUUCUGGGGGGAGCGGUAAAAUGUGAUAAUCCUCAGAGGACCACCAAUGGUGUAGGCAUCUAACUAGAACGGGUUCGACGGUGAGGGAUGAAGGCUAGGGGAGCGAUCCGGAUUAGAUACCCGAGUAGUCCUAGCAGUAAACGCUGUGAGUUAGGUGUUACAUAUUCUUAGGGAAUAUGUAGUGCCGAAGCGAAGGCAUUAAACUCACCACCUGGGAAGUACAGUCGCAAGACCGAAACU
rnacentral:rRNA from 1 species